GGCUCAAUGGUCUAGUGGUAUGAUUCCUGCUUCGGGCGCUACUCGAAGUCCUUCCAUCACACAUGGGAAUGCAGGAGGCCCCGGGUUCGAAUCCCGGUUGAGCCC
rnacentral:tRNA from 1 species